rnacentral:rRNA from 1 species
GUGCCAGCCGCCGCGGUAAUACGAAGGGUGCAAGCGUUACUCGGAAUUACUGGGCGUAAAGCGUGCGUAGGCGGUUCGUUAAGUCAGAUGUGAAAGCCCCGGGCUCAACCUGGGAAUUGCAUUUGAUACUGGCGGGCUAGAGUACGGUAGAGGGUGGUGGAAUUCCCGGUGUAGCAGUGAAAUGCGUAGAGAUCGGGAGGAACAUCUGUGGCGAAGGCGGCCACCUGGACCAGUACUGACGCUGAGGCACGAAAGCGUGGGGAGCAAACAGGAUUAGAUACCCUGGUAGUCC